UGUUAAAAAAUUCAUCUAUUUCUACUGUUAAAAACUGGCAUUAUUGACAGAUUAAUUAAAAAGUUACACAUGGCAUGCCAUGUGCACCUCAUUCUGAUAUAUAGGGAUCAGUUUUUAACAGUAGAAAUGAAUGAAAUUUUUAAUA
rfam:Gossypium hirsutum cultivar TM-1 unplaced genomic scaffold scaffold2334.1, whole genome shotgun sequence